rnacentral:rRNA from 1 species
AGAACGAACGCUGGCGGCAGGCCUCAAACAUGCAAGUCUAGGGGGUGUAGCAAUACAUCACCGGCGGACGGGUGCGUAACACGUGGGAAUAUACCUUUUGGUUCGGAACAACGCAGGGAAACUUGCGCUAAUACCGAAUGUGCCCUUACGGGGAAAGAUUUAUCGCCAAAGGAUUAGCCCGCGUAGGAUUAGCUAGUUGGUGAGGUAAUGGCUCACCAAGGCUCCGAUCCUUAGCUGUUCUGAGAGGAAGAUCAGCCACACUGGGACUGAGACACGGUCCAGACUCCUACGGGAGGCAGCAGUGGGGAAUAUUGGACAAUGGGGGCAACCCUGAUCCAGCCAUGCCGCGUGGGUGAAGAAGGCCUUCGGGUUGUAAAGCCCUUUUGUACGGGUAAGAAAAGCUUCGGGUUAACAACCGGGAGUCAUGACGGUACCGUAAGAAUAAGCACCGGCUAACUUCGUGCCAGCAGCCGC